rnacentral:rRNA from 1 species
UACGUAGGGUGCAAGCGUUGUCCGGAAUUAUUGGGCGUAAAGAGCUCGUAGGCGGUCUGUCGCGUCUGCUGUGAAAACCUAGGGCUUAACUCUGGGCGUGCAGUGGGUACGGGCAGGCUAGAGUGCGGUAGGGGAGACUGGAAUUCCUGGUGUAGCGGUGAAAUGCGCAGAUAUCAGGAGGAACACCGGUGGCGAAGGCGGGUCUCUGGGCCGUAACUGACGCUGAGGAGCGAAAGCAUGGGGAGUGAACAGG